rnacentral:rRNA from 1 species
UACGUAGGCAGCAAGCGUUGUUCGGAGUUACUGGGCGUAAAGGGUGCGUAGGCGGCUCUGUAAGUAUGGUGUGAAAUCUCCCGGCUUAACUGGGAGGUGCGCUAUAGACUGCGGGCUCGAGUGUGGGAGAGGAAAGUGGAAUUCCUGGUGUAGCGGUGAAAUGCGUAGAUAUCAGGAGGAACACCGGUGGUGUAAACGGCUUUCUGGACCAUAACUGACGCUGAGGCAACGAAAGCGUGGGUAGCAAACAGG